GAUCAAGUGUCUUAAGGGCAAUUGGUGGAUGCCUUGGCAUGCACAGGCGAUGAAGGACGUGAUACGCUGCGAUAAGCUACGGGGAGGUGCGAAUACCCUUUGAUCCGUAGAUUUCCGAAUGGGGAAACCCACCUAAGGUACUUGGAAAAUCAGAGCAGCAGGCCUGCGCGAUCUCUUUGGGAUCGCGUUGGAGCGACAAUCUCUUCGAGAUUGCGCUGAUGCUGCUGUGGUUUCCAAGUAUCGAUAAUAGGUAACUUACCCUGAAUACAUAGGGGUAAAGUGGCGAACGCGGGGAACUGAAACAUCUAAGUACCCGUAGGAAAGGACAUCAACCGAGACUCCGGAAGUAGCGGCGAGCGAACCCGGACCAGGCCAGUGGCGAUGAUGAGACAAGCGGAACCUUCUGGAAAGUAGGGCCAUAGUGGGUGACAGCCCCGUACGCGUAAUGCAAAUCAUCGUCCUCGAGUAAGGCGGGACACGUGAAAUCCUGUCUGAAAUUGGGGGGACCACCCUCCAAGCCUAAGUACUCGUGCAUGACCGAUAGCGAACUAGUACCGUGAGGGAAAGGUGAAAAGCACCCCGACAAGGGGAGUGAAAGAGUACCUGAAACCGAUUGCCUACAAACAGUGGAAGCCCAAGGUUCGUCCUGGGUGACCACGUACCUUUUGUAUAAUGGGUCAGCGACUUAGUGUGACGAGCAAGCUUAAACCGCUAGGUGUAGGCGCAGCGAAAGCGAGUCUGAAUAGGGCGUUCAGUUCGUCGCAUUAGACCCGAAACCGAGUGAUCUAGCCAUGAGCAGGUUGAAGGUAAGGUAACACUUACUGGAGGACCGAACCCAUAACUGUUGCAAUAGUUCGGGAUGACUUGUGGCUAGGGGUGAAAGGCCAAUCAAACUCGGAAAUAGCUGGUUCUCCGCGAAAUCUAUUUAGGUAGAGCGUCGACCGAAUACCCCAGGGGGUAGAGCACUGGAUGGGCUAGGGGUCCUCACCGGAUUACCAAACCUAACCAAACUCCGAAUACCUGGGAGUACUAGUCGGCAGACACACGGCGGGUGCUAACGUCCGUCGUGAAAAGGGAAACAACCCUGACCUACAGCUAAGGUCCCCAAGUUAUGGCUAAGUGGGAAAGGAUGUGAGGAUCCCAAAACAACCAGGAUGUUGGCUUAGAAGCAGCCAUCAUUUAAAGAAAGCGUAACAGCUCACUGGUCUAAAUAAGGGUCUUUGCGCCGAAAAUGUAACGGGGCUAAAGCCAUACACCGAAGCUUAGGGUUCGUGAGCAAUCACGAGCGGUAGCGGAGCGUUCUGUAAGCUGAUGAAGCCAUACCCGUGAGGGGUGGUGGAGGUAUCAGAAGUGCGAAUGCUGACAUGAGUAACGUAAGGGGAGUGAGAGACUCCCCCGCCGAAAGACCAAGGGUUCCUGCUUAAAGCUAAUCUGAGCAGGGUUAGCCGGCCCCUAAGACGAGGCGGAAACGCGUAGUCGAUGGGAACCACGUUAAUAUUCGUGGGCUUGGAGGUAGUGACGGAUCAUUGAGGUAGUCCAAUCUUAUCGGAUUGAACGGGCUGCUGCGUGGUUCCAGGAAAUAGCUCCUCCUUAUAAACCGUACCCGAAACCGACACUGGUGGUCUGGUAGAGUAUACCAAGGCGCUUGAGAGAACUAUGCUGAAGGAACUCGGCAAAUUGCACGCGUAACUUCGGAAGAAGCGUGACCCUUUUCCACGCAAGUGGAGGAGGGUGGCACAGACCAGGGGGUAGCGACUGUUUAUCAAAAACACAGGGCUCUGCGAAGUCGCAAGACGACGUAUAGGGUCUGACGCCUGCCCGGUGCUGGAAGGUUAAGAGGAGGGGUGCAAGCUCUGAAUCGAAGCCCCAGUAAACGGCGGCCGUAACUAUAACGGUCCUAAGGUAGCGAAAUUCCUUGUCGGGUAAGUUCCGACCUGCACGAAUGGCGUAACGACUUCCCCGCUGUCUCCAGCAUAGACUCAGUGAAAUUGAAUUCCCCGUGAAGAUGCGGGGUUCCUGCGGUUAGACGGAAAGACCCCGUGCACCUUUACUAUAGCUUUACAUUGGCAUUCGUAGUGGCAUGUGUAGGAUAGGUGGUAGGCUUUGAAACCUGGGCGCCAGCUCAGGUGGAGCCACCCUUGAAAUACCACCCUUAUUACUAUGGAUGUCUAACCGCGGCCCGUUAUCCGGGUCCGGGACAAUGUAUGGUGGGUAGUUUGACUGGGGCGGUCGCCUCCUAAAGAGUAACGGAGGCGCGCGAUGGUGGGCUCAGAACGGUCGGAAAUCGUUCGCUGAGUGCAAUGGCAUAAGCCUGCCUGACUGCGAGACUGACAAGUCGAGCAGAGACGAAAGUCGGUCAUAGUGAUCCGGUGGUCCCGCGUGGAAGGGCCAUCGCUCAACGAAUAAAAGGUACGCCGGGGAUAACAGGCUGAUGACCCCCAAGAGUCCAUAUCGACGGGGUUGUUUGGCACCUCGAUGUCGACUCAUCGCAUCCUGGGGCUGGAGCAGGUCCCAAGGGUAUGGCUGUUCGCCAUUUAAAGCGGUACGUGAGUUGGGUUCAGAACGUCGUGAGACAGUUCGGUCCCUAUCUGCCGUGGGUGUAGGAAUAUUGAAAGGAUCUGUCCCUAGUACGAGAGGACCGGGAUGGACGGAUCUCUGGUGGACCUGUUGUGGCGCCAGCCGCAUAGCAGGGUAGCUAUAUCCGGACGGGAUAACCGCUGAAGGCAUCUAAGCGGGAAACCCACCUUAAAACGAGUAUUCCCUGAGAACCGUGGAAGACGACCACGUUGAUAGGCCGGGUGUGGAAGAGCGGCAACGCUUGAAGCUUACCGGUACUAAUAGUUCGAUCGGCUUGAUCGU
rnacentral:rRNA from 1 species